CCUACGGGGGGCUGCAGUGGGGAAUAUUGCACAAUGGGCGCAAGCCUGAUGCAGCCAUGCCGCGUGUGUGAAGAAGGCCUUCGGGUUGUAAAGCACUUUCAGCGGGGAGGAAGGCGUUAAGGUUAAUAACCUUGGCGAUUGACGUUACCCGCAGAAGAAGCACCGGCUAACUCCGUGCCAGCAGCCGCGGUAAUACGGAGGGUGCAAGCGUUAAUCGGAAUUACUGGGCGUAAAGCGCACGCAGGCGGUCUGUCAAGUCGGAUGUGAAAUCCCCGGGCUCAACCUGGGAACUGCAUUCGAAGCUGGCAGGCUAGAGUCUUGUAGAGGGGGGUAGAAUUCCAGGUGUAGCGGUGAAAUGCGUAGAGAUCUGGAGGAAUACCGGUGGCGAAGGCGGCCCCCUGGACAAAGACUGACGCUCAGGUGCGAAAGCGUGGGGAGCAAACAGGAUUAGAUACCCUAGUAGUC
rnacentral:rRNA from 1 species